UACGGGGGGGGUAAGCGUUGUUCGGAAUUACUGGGCGUAAAGAGCACGUAGGCGGCGGUGCAAGUUGGGGGUGGAAUCCCGGGGCUCAACCCUGGAAUUGCCUCCAAAACUGUGCUGCUUGAGUUCGGAAGAGGAGAGUGGAAUUCCCAGUGUAGAGGUGAAAUUCGUAGAUAUUGGGAAGAACACCAGUGGCGAAGGCGGCUCUCUGGUCCGAUACUGACGCUGAGGUGCGAAAGCGUGGGGAGCAAACAGG
rnacentral:rRNA from 1 species